rnacentral:rRNA from 1 species
CUCAAAGAUUAAGCCAUGCAAGUGGUUAGCAACCUUGACGGUUUGAAUGAGUGCUAUUUUAAAAGCAUAAAUAAAAAAAAUAUAUAUAUAAAAAAUAUAUAUAUUUAUAAUACAUUAAUGUAAUAAUUAAUGCACACAUGCAACUGCAGACAGCUGCUUAAUACAGUCACACUUGUCUUGACUUGGCAUAAAUACACAAAAAAAAGUAAAGCUUAUUAUUAACGGAUAACUAAGGGAAAUUUUGGCUAAUACGUACGAGAUUUAAUAUAAAUAUAUAAAUAAAAAAUAAUAAAGCUUUUAAUUAUAUUUGCACUUGUUGGCGUGGUCAUGUAACACUGUCAUUUUUUUUUAAAUAUUUAUAUUUAAAAAUAAAGUGACGCGUUAUCAAGCCUUAUAUAUCUUAUAUUUUUUUUUUUAAUUAUAUAAGGUAUAUGAUGCCCUGUGAUCACAUUUUAUCAUCGAAAGCAACAUGAACGACAACAAGCACGCUUUUCUCAUCCUACUGAGUUUAGCUGAGCAGACUUACGAGGCACAAUACUUGUAAGCAGGUCAUACAAGCAUCUACAGCAUCAGCCAUGUGUUGGCAAGUGUAUUUUUGGACCUCGAAAGCAGUCACGCAUACGGAGGAGUCGUUUCUGAUCCCAUAGAAGGAGCACCGUACGAUGAGAGACCGCUCUUAGUUCUAAGGAACGCAGCAGGCGCGUAAAUUGCCCAAUGUUAGUCCCCUUAACAUUUUUUUUUAUAAAUAACUCUUAUUCAAACCCUUAAGAAAAUAUUAACCUUGUUAACAUAGCCACUUAUAUAAAUAUAAAUAAAAAAAAAAAAAAAAAUAUAUUUAUAUACAUAUUAUAUAUAUAUAUAUAUUUAUAUAAGAGAGAUAAAAAAAAAUAUCUCAACGAGGCAGUGACAAGCUGUAACAAUAUGAGUAAAAUAAACUAUCAAAAGUCUGACAAUGCCUUCUUUUUUAGGAGAUGCAUAGUCGACUUUUUAAGUGCUCAGUUGGAAUGCGGUGAGCUUAAGCAAUUCAGAAUCUAUUGGUAUGUCUUUUUUAAAAGACACUACCUUUGUAUCUGAACUUCAAGUGGAGGGCAAGUCUGGUGCCAGCAGCCGCGGUAAUACCAGCUCCACUAGCCUAUGCAAUCAUUGUUGCGGUUAAGAGGCUCGUAGUUGGAUUGAACAAUAUUUUUUAGUUUUUUUAUUUAAUAAAAAAUAAAAAAUAAAACACAUAAAGUCUUUAUUUGAACAUAAACAUAUAUAUAUUGUAAAGCCUUUUAAAGUGUAAUUAAAAAUAAAAGGAAAAAAUUAAAAAAACAACACUGUGAACAAAUCAGAGUGUACAAAACAUGUCGGAGAGUCUCUGAUAGUGCAUUGAAUGUCUUAUCAUGGAAUGUUGCAUCAAAAUUUUUUUUUGUGGUUAUAUUGAAGUUUGUAUACCAUUCAGUUCCGAAAUAACUAUUGUUGGUCUUUACUGUAAGGCGUUGUAUAAUACACAAAUUAAAAUUUAAAUUCUUAUCCCUGUGACGUCAGGUGAAAGAAGUAUAAAAUUGGCUUUUAUGUGUCGAUGGGGAUAGUUGGAGUGAGGAGUACUGCUGAGCGAGCGGUGAAAUGCGUUGACCUCAGCAAGACUACCAGUGGCGAAAGCGCCUAACUAGGCUAUUCUCUUUGUAAGAUUAAAAAGUAUUAGGAUACUUGUUUUCCUCCUUUUCUAGGUAGGUUAGGUAAUGAGGAUCAGAUACCCUCGUCGUCCCAUUCUACAUCAAACGAUGGGCUCUCAAUUGCAUUAAUUAAUUUUUUUUUUCAUUUUUUAAUGGAUUAAAAAAAAAAUAUUAUGCAUAUAAUUAAUACCCCUUUUACCUAUUAAAUUAUAAGGCUUGAUGCUUAAAAUUUUCUUCGGAAACUUUUUCGCUCGCUUUGUUAUUUUACUGUCGAAGGGCAUUUAUAUACUUAAAUAUUUUAACCUUAUUUUGGUAUGKGAUUUAAUUUUUUUACAUUGAUAUUCUUCCUAUGGAUGAUUAAUAAUAUAAGAGAACCACAUAUUAACGAAUGUAUGAGCUUUGCGCUCUAUUUAAAUUGGUGAGAUGUAAGCACAAGGUAUGGUUUUUGUUUGAGUAUAAUUUAAUAAUUUUUUUAUUUGUAUUUAUACUAAUAAAUAUUAUUUUUUUAUUACUCACAAAAAAAAAAAAACCGACCAUUAAUUAAUAAAUUGUGUUAGGCACGCUUUAGGCACGCGCUUACUGCAGAAAUGCCUGAAACAUUCCCCUCCGGGGGUAGUAUGCACGCAAGUGUGAAACUUGAAGGAAUUGACGGAAGGGCACCACAAGAACGCGUGGAGCAUGUGGCUUAAUUUGACUCAACGCGGGGAAUCUUACCGGGUCCGGACAUACUGAGGAUUGACAGGAGUCUGUGUGCUUUUUUUUAUUAUUUUUUUUUUUAAAAAAGUAAUAAAAAAGCAACAAAAGCAUACUACAAAUAUGCUAGUCCUUUCAUGAUUGUGUGAUAGGUGGUGCAUGGCCGUUCUUAGUUCGUGAAGUGAUUUGUCUGCUUAAUUGCGUUUCUAUAUAUAAGUCCGUUUACUUGUAAUUAUAAAAUUAUUUAUUUUUUUUUUAAGAAAAAAUUUUUAUUUUAAUUUUUACUUAUGCAAACUAAGACUUUUGAAGGCAACGAACGUGACCGCAGCCCUUUGUUACCUUUAAUUGUUUUUAUUAUUAUAAUAACAAUUUAAAUAAAGGAAAACUAGGGGGACCGCUAGUUAUUUUAAACUAGAGGAAGAGUGCGGCAAUAACAGGUCUGUGAUGCCCUUAGAUGUUCCGGGCCGCACACGUGCUACAAUGAUUAUUGCAGUUAGUAUCUAAAUUAAAAAAAGCAGACUUUAAAAUCUGUUUAUUUUUAUUAUUAAUUUUUUUUCCUCCAAAGGGAUUAAUUAUUAGUUUUAGAAAUAAACACCUACAUUGAAAAUUGUAGGCAAUCAAUUACAAGUAAUGAUUACCCUUUAAAAAUUUAUUUUUAUGCGCACAAAACAAUACUUAUUAUUAUAAGAUAAAUAAUUUUUUUAAAUUAUAUAUUUUGUAUUAAUAUUAGUAUGUGCUCCAUUAGUUCGUGGUGGGGACAGACCAUUGUAAAUUGUUGGUCUCGGUCUCAACUAGGAAUGCCUUGUACGGGUCUUGGUUCAACAUACCACCCGGAAUACGUCCCUGCCCUUUGUACACACCGCCCGUCGCUCUUACCGAUGGAGUUCUCUGUGAGUUUGAGGGACUGGUAAACAUCAAAAAUGUUUGCUAUGGAAACUCAUGCGAACAGCGUGGUCUAAAGGAAAGAGAAGUCGUAACAAGGCAUCGGUAGGUGAACCU